UCGCCCCAUGCCCAGAUAUUCUUGUCGCGGUCUGAGCGGCGGUCGGGUCGGCUGCUGCGGAGCGGCGCGAGCUGCGCGAGGGACCCCGUGGAGCCACCGCGGCUAUGCCAUGCCGAGGGCCUUCCUGAUCACGCACCGGCGCUACCGGCAGGGCGCCGGCCCCGGCCUGCCGGAGGGCCUGCCGGAGGGCCUGCCGGAGGGCGAGGGCGACGACCCCGCCGCCGAGCACGCCAACGACUCGGACGACGGCGGGCAGGACCAGGACGAGGACGGCGUCGACGAGAAGCAGCUCGCCGUCGAGGAUGAAGAACCUUCGGGCGACUCGGACUCCUCCGGUGCUGGCGUGGGGCUCGCCGACCUGGCCGGGUUGGCCGGGUUGGGGCUGGCGGGCUCCUGGGGCGUGCCCGACGAGCUGUUCAACCUCACGCAGUUGGCGGAGGUGAGCCUGGCCGCGGCCGCGGCGCAGGGCCACCACUUCCGCAGCGGCGACCCCGACCAGCAACCGGUCCGCGGCGGCGCGCAGGGCGGCGCCGGCUCCCCGCCGGGCGCGGGCGCGCACGGCUGCGUGGACUGCGGCAAGAGGUACUCGACGGCCAGCAACCUGGCGCGGCACCGGCAGACGCACCGGUCGCUCGCGGGCCAGCAGGCGCGCGGCUGCCCGACCUGCGGCAAGCUGUACGUGUCCAUCCCGGCCUUCGCCAUGCACGUGCGCACGCACGCGCAGGCGUGCCGCUGCGAGUUCUGCGGCAAGACCUUCUCGCGGCCCUGGCUGCUGCAGGGCCACCUGCGCACGCACACGGGCGAGAAGCCCUUCAAGUGCGGCGUGUGCGCCAAGGCGUUCGCCGACAAGUCCAACCUGCGCGCGCACGUGCAGACGCACUCGGACGCCAAGCCGCACGUGUGCGGGCGCUGCGGCAAGGCCUUCGCCCUCAAGUCGUACCUGUACAAGCACGAGGAGGCGUCCUGCCUGCGCCAGGGUCAGGGCCACGGCCUGCACGGCCCCGCGCAGCACCUCGGCAGCCGCUCGCUGUCCUCCUCGCCGCCCUCCUCCCCCGACAUGCGGUAAGCCGUCCGUCCGCCUUGGUCCAUUGGAACCCUCGACAGUCCUAGUAGUCCUGGAUAGGGCCAGAUUGUCGGGGGUUCGAAUCGCGCCGCGUCGUCGUCGGGUGGCAACCCCUCCUGCAGCGGAGUCCUCUGCUCGCUGUACGUCGCGUUGCGCCGAGCCGUCGUUUUGGCUGCCGCUUGCUCCUUGGCGUGAGGGGAGGCCAGGAAAUGGCAAGAGGAAAUGGCGCAACCUGGUCUAAUGUCUGUUCCAAUCAACCACCGACCGGGGCCGCGAACCCUGCUCCGGGCAGGUGGGGUGCAGGUCAGAGUUCAGUUGCAGAAUACAAAGGCAGAGUGGAAUUUAUCUAAUAAAAGGUUACCUUGUGAAAAAGUUUCUGCCAUAGACAGCCCAGUGUGCCAUUAAGGUAUCUUCCACUGAUUUGCCGGUGUGAGCAAUGACUGACAGCCAUGCCAAAGCUGCCCAGAUUCCAUCUUUUUCUCUGAUGUGAUCAGAUCCUGUACUGUGAGAGGAAUGAAAACAUAAGACAUAGAUAGAUGGAUAAAACUAAGAUUAUACCACAAAAAACUGUU